UUUUUUUAAACUUCUUGAGACGGUCUUGCUAAGUAACUAAAUUGCCCAGGCUGGGCUUUGGACUAUUGAUCCCUGUGCCUCAGCCUCCUAGACUGCACCACCCGACCCAGGUCCUUCCCGGGUUCUCCAUGCUGUUCCUGUCCUAAUUCUGGAACACAAGAGUGGGGAAGACUGACGCUACACGGAUCCCCGCUUGCUGCAGAGGGCUGGAUGUGUCUGAAUCAGUCCCGAUGUGCGCAUCAUGAGUUUGUCAGCCAGGACGCCGUGGUGAGGCAAAGAACAUCACAAAUCACAGAAGAACAGAAGACUCAAGUCAAGGUGGAGGGAGCUGCGUGUAGUGGAAGUCACGGGGGAGGGGAUGAGUGCCACCUCCCCUGGAAUUGUUUGCCCUCUGCUGACUGCAGCCAGGCUCUGGUGGCGGCUGCGCUUGACAGAUUCCUGCGUGAGACCAAGUCAGAUGGAAGAACCAACGGUUGGGAAGUGACGGUGACUGCAGGCUGCCUCGGCCAGCUCAGAUGACUUCAGCGAAGACCGCAGCAGUCCUGCUGGCUUCCCUCACGCGCUCCAGAUGGCAGCAAGAUGGCAGCCCGCAGCCCCACUCCCAUGAGAGCAGGACAGCCUCAGACUCUGAGUCGAGGAGCGCAGAAUUCUGCACACACCAGUGUCACUGUUCAGUCCAAUUAAACAAAAGAACAAUCCAA
rnacentral:lncRNA from 1 species